rnacentral:rRNA from 1 species
GGGGGGGGGGGGGGGGGGGGCGGGGACGGGCGAGGCGGGGGGGGGGGCGGGGGGGGGGCGGCGCUGGGGUUAGCGGCGGACGGGGGAGUAAGGCGGGGGUAACCUACCUAUAAGACGGGGAUAACUUCGGGAAACCGGAGCUAAUACCGGAUCAUAUUUUGAACCGCAGGGUUCAAACGUGAAAGACGGUCUUGCUGUCACUUAUAGCUGGAUCCGCGCUGCAUUAGCUAGUUGGUAAGGUAAAGGCUUACCAAGGCAACGAUGCAUAGCCGACCUGAGAGGGUGAUCGGCCACACUGGAACUGAGACACGGUCCAGACUCCUAAGGGAGGCAGCAGUAGGGAAUCUUCCGCAAUGGGCGAAAGCCUGACGGAGCAACGCCGCGUGAGUGAUGAAGGUCUUCGGAUCGUAAAACUCUGUUAUUAGGGAAGAACAUAUGUGUAAGUAACUGUGCACAUCUUGACGGUACCUAAUCAGAAAGCCACGGCUAACUACGUG